rnacentral:rRNA from 1 species
CCUACGGGAGGCUGCAGUGGGGAAUAUUGGACAAUGGGCGCAAGCCUGAUCCAGCCAUGCCGCGUGUGUGAAGAAGGCCUUCGGGUUGUAAAGCACUUUUGUUGGGGAAGCGGUACCCAAAGAAUAAGCACCGGCUAACUUCGUGCCAGCAGCCGCGGUAAUACGAAGGGUGCAAGCGUUACUCGGAAUUACUGGGCGUAAAGCGUGCGUAGGUGGUGAGUUAAGUCUGUCGUGAAAGCCCCGGGCUCAACCUGGGAAUGGCGAUGGAUACUGGCUAGCUAGAGUGCGGUAGAGGAGAGUGGAAUUCCCGGUGUAGCAGUGAAAUGCGUAGAGAUCGGGAGGAACAUCAGUUGCGAAGGCGGCUCUCUGGACCAGACUGACACUGAGGCACGAAAGCGUGGGGAGCAAACAGGAUUAGAUACCCUUGUAGUC